UAAUCUUGAACAUUCAGUGCCGAUGUAUGCUGAACAGUUGGUGCAUGUGGUCAGCAGCCUUACUCAACCUUCUGAUAACCUGCUUCAUUAUUGUUAUGUACACUGCUAUCUUAAGAUAUUUGGUUUCCAGGCAGGACUGACGUCUUUGGAUUGCAGUGGAUCUUACUGCUUACCUGUACCAAUUAUUCCCUCUUUCAGCACUGCUCUUUAUGGGAAACUUCUGAAACUCCCCACAUGCUGGACCAAAAGAUCUCAGAUUGCUAUAACUGAAGGUAUAUUUGAACUUCCAAAUCUCACAAUUCAAGCUACAAGAGCACAGACACUUCUCUUGCAAGCAAUAUAUCAAAGUUGGUCUCAUCUUGGAAAUGUCAGCUCUUCUGCAGUGAUUGAAGCUUUGAUAAGUGAAAUCUUCCUAAGUAUAGGGAUGACUAAUCCAACUGCUGAGGUCUCCCUUUAUGUGUUUGAUGGAACACUUGGCUUGCUGGACUACAGCUGUGUGUUUAUGUGCAGUGCACACCUGCAGGGGCCUGACAAAUAGCUGUAGUAUGCAGAGGAUACAAAAUUACCCUGGCAGUGCUGCAAAUAAGGAAGUUUCUGUUUUGAAGUCCAUAUGUGUGUGUGCUUGAGAUGCCAGCUGGUGUAUUUAUGUUGCAUGCACAGAUGUAAAACUGCCAACUGAUUUUAUAUCAAAUAAAGCCUAAUCUUUUUAUAUGUACUUUGUGUCAAAGUUAUGAAGUGGUAUGUAAGAAUAUUCUCAUAACUUAGGUCUUUUAAAAUAAAAGCUGCUAUUAAAAAUAUGAACUCAUAAUAUGAUUAGGAAAGAGAGGAAAGAGGAUAGUGAUAGAGAUGGUAUUUCUUAACUAUUAUCCUGUGUAUAAUAAUGUUAUUACUAUAUCAUUAGAUAAAUAAAGUUUUGAUUUAUUAUAAUUAUGAAUGAUAUAUAUUCUCUUUUGUGGCUAGAGUCAGUCAGGUCUUUGUGAAAUCCCAAUUUAUGAAUACUGAAAUGUGAAAGACAAAUUUAUAUAAUUACUUGACUUGCAGGCUUUGGCUAU
rnacentral:sRNA from 1 species